GAUAUUUUUUAUUCGAAUUUCCGUGUCAGAUCGGACUAUUUGAGUGGUCUAAGGUAUUUGAAAAGGGAAAAAAUUGGACUUCCCAAAGAUCGUCCGCCAAGGCAAAGAUCAGAAGCCUCAGCGCCUGUCUCGGUUACGAGGCGUGCUUCUGGACGCACAGGGACUGCCCGUGUCGCGAGGCGGCUAGGUGAACGCCUGAAAGAGUAAGAGAGAGCAGAGGUCGCCGUCAGGCAACCAACUCUUCGUCCGGAGAAGAUGGGCGAAAAGGCUGCCGAGAACAAGAAAAAGGAUGGAGCCGAUAAGGGAGCCAAGGCGGCCGACAAGAAGGACGAGAAGAAGGAAGUCGAGCUCUCCGAAGAGGAUUUGGCGCUCAAAGAAAAUCUCGAAUUGAUGGUCGUGAGGAGCGCGGACCCCAAAGCCGGUGUUGCAAAGCUGGCGAUGGAGACGAUGAGAAGCGAGAUCAAGUCAGCCACGAGGUGAGUCUCUUUCCACGUCCGCUCGCGUGAUCUGGCGCGCGUGCGCGCAAAGCACGAAGGAUUCUCUGUCUUACCAUAGGAAUCGAUUGAGAUCGCAUGAACUGACAGCAUCCGAUUUUCCUUGUUUAUCGCAGCUCCAUGACGAGCGUUCCGAAGCCGCUCAAGUUCCUUCGUCCCCAUCUGCAAACCCUCAAGGACACCUACGCAAAGCUGAAACCUGGUGAAAACAAGAAACUACUCGCUGACAUCAUCUCCCUGCUCGCCAUGACCGAUGCUCCGAUUGAUGAUGCAAUGCCCGAGUCGCUGAAAUACCGUCUUCUCGGAUCUAACGAAGACAUCGGCACUUGGGGUCAUGAGGUGGGUCC
rnacentral:lncRNA from 1 species